rnacentral:rRNA from 1 species
GCGAACGGGUGAGUAAUAUAUCGGAACGUACCUAGUAGGUGUGGGGAUAACGCAGCGAAUAGUUGCGCUAAAUACCUGACUAUAUUCUCUAAGGCAGGAAAGUGGGGGCUCGCAAGACCUCAUGCUUUUAGUAGCGGACCGAUUAUCUGAUUAGCUAGUUGGUGAGGUAAAGGCUCACCAAGGCAUCGAUCAGUAGCUGGUCUUGAGGAGGACGUACCAGCCAUACUGGAACUUGAGACACGGUCCAGACUCUAUAACGGGAGGCAGCAGUGGGGAAUUUUGGACAAUGGGGGAAACCCUGACGCAGCAACACCGCGUGGAGGAUGAAGCCCCUUGGGGUGUAAACUCCUUUCGAUCGGGAAGAUAAUGACGGUACUGGUGGAAGAAGCACCGGCUAACUCUGUGCCAGCAGCCGCGGUAAUACAGAGGGUGCAAGCGUUGUUCGGAAUUAUUGGGCGUAAAGGGUGCGUAGGCGGCGCGACAAGUCACCUGUGAAAUCCCCGGGCUUAACUCGGGGCCUGCAGGCGAAACUGUCGUGCUGGAGUAUGGGAGAGGUGCGUGGAAUUCCCGGUGUAAGCGGUGGAAAU